UAAUGAGAGAAGACAUCUACUGUCCCUUUUAGGGAGAGAGGAAAGUCUGGACACCAUGAGAACAAACAUAGUAGAUAACAACUACGGACUAAAUAUAAUAAAUAAAAUUUAGUUACAGCAAGUGCCAUAGAGACUAUACUACCCUUAGGGGGAAAUGUGAAAAGUCAUUUGGUGUUUAUUAUGUUAAUUUCAUAACUUGUUUUUGAGUAAAUAUAAUAAGCUACGAAUGAAGAUUUGUGUAAAAAUAAAUCUUGGUAAACCUUAUGUGGUGCAAUGGGAAUGGUAUUUUUUAGAGAUUAGUGUUCUCUAUUGUCUCUAAAAAAUAUACUCAGCUUGAGAUUAUAAGUGAUUAUAAUCCUAGAUAGAUUGAUGUUUAGAUACAGAAUCCGGCUUAUUACUCUCAUUAUUUA
rnacentral:RNase_P_RNA from 1 species